rnacentral:rRNA from 1 species
AUCGAACGCUGGCGGCAUGCCUUACACAUGCAAGUCGAACGGCAGCAUGAUCUAGCUUGCUAGACUGAUGGCGAGUGGCGAACGGGUGAGUAAUACAUCGGAACGUGCCCUGUAGUGGGGGAUAACUAGUCGAAAGAUUAGCUAAUACCGCAUACGACCUGAGGGUGAAAGUGGGGGACCGCAAGGCCUCAUGCUAUAGGAGCGGCCGAUGUCUGAUUAGCUAGUUGGUGAGGUAAAGGCUCACCAAGGCGACGAUCAGUAGCUGGUCUGAGAGGACGAUCAGCCACACUGGGACUGAGACACGGCCCAGACUCCUACGGGAGGCAGCAGUGGGGAAUUUUGGACAAUGGGGGCAACCCUGAUCCAGCAGUGCCGCGUGUGUGAAGAAGGCCUUCGGGUUGUAAAGCACUUUUGUCCGGAAAGAAAUCGCACUUACUAAUAUUAGGUGUGGAUGACGGUACCGGAAGAAUAAGGACCGGCUAACUACGUGCCAGCAGCCGCCGUAAAAC